rnacentral:rRNA from 1 species
UAUGAAUUACAUAUAAGGUAAUACCUGCCCUAUGAUUUAUUUAAUGGCCGCAGUACUUUGACUGUGCUAAGGUAGCAUAAUAAAUUGGCUUUUAAUUGGGGUCUUGAAUGAAAGGGAAAAUGGGUAUUGACUAUCUAUAUUUUAUUUAAUAAAAGUUACUUAAGGGGUGAAAAUUCCCUUAAAUUAAUAUAAAAGACGAGAAGACCCUAAGAGUUUAUAUAAAUAUUUUGUUGGGGCGACACUACAACAUUUAACUUGUAGAGAUUGUUAUAUAUAACGAAUUUUAUUAAUCUUAAUUAAGCUACCUUAGGGAUAACAGCAUAAUUUUAAAUUAAGUUUGUGACCUCGAUGUUGGACUAGGGAAUUUUAAUAUUAACAAUACUAAAAAUCUGUUCUGUUCGAACACUGUCCCCUACAU